rnacentral:rRNA from 1 species
GACGAACGCUGGCGGCGUGCUUAACACAUGCAAGUCGAACGGAAAGGCCCUGCUUUUGUGGGGUGCUCGAGUGGCGAACGGGUGAGUAACACGUGAGUAACCUGCCCUUGACUUUGGGAUAACUUCAGGAAACUGGGGCUAAUACCGGAUAGGAGCUCCUGCUGCAUGGUGGGGGUUGGAAAGUUUCGGCGGUUGGGGAUGGACUCGCGGCUUAUCAGCUUGUUGGUGGGGUAGUGGCUUACCAAGGCUUUGACGGGUAGCCGGCCUGAGAGGGUGACCGGCCACAUGGGGACUGAGCUACCGCCCAGCCCCCUACGGGAGGCAGCAGUGGGGAAUAUGGCCCACGGGGCUGACGCCUUACCCAGCCCCCCCGCGUGGGGUGUGGCGGCCUUCGGUUUGUAACCCGCUUUCGCCUGUGACGAAGUGUGAGUCACGGUAUGGGAUAAAGAAGCCCCGGCUAACUACGUC